rnacentral:sRNA from 1 species
GUUCUUAAGUUUCUAUAUCAAGUA